AGCGAACGCUGGCGGCAGGCCUAACACAUGCAAGUCGAACGGAUCCUUCGGGAUUAGUGGCGGACGGGUGAGUAACACAUGGGAACGUGCCCUUUGGUUCGGAACAACUCAGGGAAACUUGAGCUAAUACCGGAUGUGCCCUUCGGGGGAAAGAUUUAUCGCCAUUGGAGCGGCCCGCGUCUGAUUAGCUAGUUGGUGAGGUAACGGCCCACCAAGGCGGCGAUCAGUAGCUGGUCUGAGAGGAUGAUCAGCCACACUGGGACUGAGACACGGCCCAGACUCCUACGGGAGGCAGCAGUGGGGAAUCUUGCGCAAUGGGCGAAAGCCUGACGCAGCCAUGCCGCGUGAAUGAUGAAGGUCUUAGGAUUGUAAAAUUCUUUCAGCGGGGACGAUAAUGACGGUACCCGCAGAAGAAGCUCCGGCUAAUUUCGUG
rnacentral:rRNA from 1 species